rnacentral:tRNA from 1 species
GGGUCGGUAGCGUAGCUGGUUAUCGCAUCUGUCUAACAUAAUCGCAAUGAGUUCUCCCUUUACACAGAAGGUCCUCAGUUCGAACCUGGACCGACUCA